GACCUCAAGUCAUGUGAGAGUACCCGCUGAACUUAAGCAUAUCAAUAAGCGGAGGAAAAGAAACUAACAAGGAUUCCCCUAGUAACGGCGAGUGAAGCGGGAAGAGCACAAAUUUAAAAUCUACCUGGUUUCCAGGUCGAGUUGUAAUUUGAAGAAACGUUUUUGACGUUCCGGGUUGGGAUAAAUCCUUUGGGAUGAGGUAUCAUGGAGGGUGAGAAUCCCGUGUAUACCAACCGCAGGGAUGUUAUUUAAUACGUUUUCUAAGAGUCGAGUUGUUUGGGAAUGCAGCUCUAAAUGGGUGGUAAAUUUCACCUAAUGCUAAAUAUAUGCGAGAGACCGAUAGCGAACAAGUACCGUGAGGGAAAGAUGAAAAGAACUUUGAAAAGAGAGUUAAAUAGUACGUGAAAUUGUUGAAAGGGAAACGAUUGAAGUCAGUCAUGCCGGCGGGAAUCAACUUAGGGGAAACUUUAAGUGCACUUCACGUUUGGCAGGUCAGCGUCGAUUUUGGAUAUCAUAAAAUGAUUGGGGGAAGGUAGCUCCUUCGGGAGUGUUAUAGCCCUUGAUAGAUGUGAUGUCUGGGAUCGAGGAUUGCAACGGAUAUCCUUUGGGCUAGCCGCCUGAUCUCUAACUGGUGUUAGGUUACGGACAGCAUGCUGACCGUGAUUUAAUUACUGGUUAAAAGGUUAGAGCGAGUGUAAAUUCGUUAAGGACGCUGACGUAAUGGCUUUAAACGACCCGUCUUGAAACACGGACCAAGGAGUCUAACAUGUAUGCGAGUGUUAGGGUAUUAAACCCAGACGCGAAAUGAAAGUGAGUGUAGGUGGGAUCCUUUAUUGGAGCACCAUCGACCGAUCUUGAGAUUUAUCGAUAGAAUUGAGUUAGAGC
rnacentral:rRNA from 1 species